GGUUUAACACAGAGGGGUUGGAAGGGGUAGGGUUUACACAGAGGGGUUGGAAGGGGUAGGGUUUACACAGAGGGGUUGGAAGGGGUAGGGUUUACACAGAGGGGUUGGAAGGGGGUUAACACAGAGGGGUUGGAAGGGGGUUAACACAGAGGGGUUGGAAGGGGGGGGGGGUAGGGUUAACACAGAGGGGUUGGAAGGGGUAGGGUUAACACAGAGGGGUUGGAAGGGGUAGGGUUAACACAGAGGGGUUGGAAGGGGUAGGGUUAACACAGAGGGGUUGGAAGGGGUAGGGUUAACCCAGAGGGGUUGGAAGGGGUAGGGUUAACACAGAGGGGUUGGAAGGGGUAGGGUUAACACAGAGGGGUUGGAAGGGGUAGGGUUAACACAGAGGGGUUGGAAGGGGUAGGG
ensembl:lncRNA